AGCCAUAGGAGAAAGUUGCCUUUGGGUGGUUCCUGUUGGAACGCCCAGCAGAUGACAGAGAAGGGCUCAAGAACGGGCAAGCCUUAUUUAUCCUUCUUCACAACCAAGAAAAUUUGGGAGGGGGGCAGGAAGAUAUAGAAGAACUGGCCCAGUGCUACACCAUGUCAGCGAACCAGGACUUCAAACCCAGAACCCUCCCUGUUUUGGAGUCCGGGAGCAAAAUCCUUCACUGCUGACAAACAGCACUUCAACAAUUCCACUGCCUCCCUAGGAUCAGACGUACAUAACUGACAGAACUGGUUAUCAUCUGCAUACUAUUGAUGAAUCUGCAGCUCAACUCUCCAGAUAUCUCAAAAACAACAAUUUAAUGGAUACCAAGACCAGAUGGUGACAGCAGUUUGCAAAAAUUUUAGUAGAUGCUAUUAGAACAAGAUAUAUUAUGGCACCUUCAGUUUUAAUCUGAUAUAGCUUUUUGCUCAGUUUUAUUUGUGAGUCGUUUUAUGGAUUCUGUAUACAUGAAUUUUAUUGGCUGGAAUCUUAUGUAAAUGCAGAAUUUUAGUCAGGUAACUUGAUCAAGCUAUUUAUCUGGUUUCUAUUUUCUCUGUAAAUUCCAAUUUGCAAUGGCUUGUGGAUAAUGCAAUGAAGGACUUUGACUUUAAAAUAUAGCACCUCUGAGAUCCUGAAACUGAUUUCAUGGUUUGUUAUUCUUUUUAUUUCAAAGGCUAGGAAGUUUGAAUUCUGUUUCCUAAUUAUGAAAAAUUAACAUACAAUCAUAAGAAGAGCCUGCUGGAUCAGGCCAGUGACCCAUUUAGUCCAGCAUCCUGGUCUCACAGUGGCCAACCAGAUGCUCAUCAGAAGCCUGCAAGCAGAACCUGAGUGCAACAGCACUCUUCCUGUUGUCUUGUAUUGAUGUAAAGAAUUAUUACCCCAUCCCAAAUCUGUUGUAGUAAUACAUAUUUUAAGUCUCCCUAUAAACUGUCCCUUUCUGGUAUAUGUUGGCUUCCUGUGGUUUUUUUCCCCCAUCAGCUUUGGUUGCCAAACAGAUAGUAA